UACGUAGGGGGCAAGCGUUGUCCGGAAUCAUUGGGCGUAAAGAGCGUGUAGGCGGCCAGAUAAGUCCGCUGUGAAAACUCGAGGCUCAACUUCGAGCUGUCGGUGGAAACUAUUUGGCUAGAGUCCGGAAGAGGAGAGUGGAAUUCCUGGUGUAGCGGUGAAAUGCGCAGAUAUCAGGAAGAACACCCGUGGCGAAGGCGGCUCUCGUGGUACGGAACUGACGCUGAGACGACGAAAGCG
rnacentral:rRNA from 1 species